GACGUAGGGGGCGAGCGUUGUCCGGAUUCAUUGGGCGUAAAGCGCGCGCAGGCGGCCCGGUAAGUCGGAUGUGAAAUCUCACGGCUCAACCGUGAAACUGCAUUCGAUACUGUCGGGCUAGAGGCAGGUAGGGGAGAUCGGAAUUCCUGGUGUAGCGGUGAAAUGCGCAGAUAUCAGGAGGAACACCGGUGGCGAAGGCGGAUCUCUGGGCCUGUCCUGACGCUCAGGCGCGAAAGCUAGGGGAGCGAACAGG
rnacentral:rRNA from 1 species